UACGUAGGGCGCAAGCGUUGUCCGGAAUUAUUGGGCGUAAAGAGCUCGUAGGCGGUUUGUCGCGUCUGCUGUGAAAACUCGAGGCUCAACCUCGGGCUUGCAGUGGGUACGGGCAGACUAGAGUGCGGUAGGGGUGACUGGAAUUCCUGGUGUAGCGGUGGAAUGCGCAGAUAUCAGGAGGAACACCGGUGGCGAAGGCGGGCCUCUGGGCAGUAACUGACGCUGAGGAGCGAAAGCGUGGGGAGCGAACAGG
rnacentral:rRNA from 1 species